rnacentral:tRNA from 1 species
GCCUGGGUGGCUCAGUGGGUUAAGCGUCUGACUCUUGAUCUUGGCUCAGGCCGUGAUCUCAAAGUUCGUGGGUUUGAGCCCCACAUCAGGCA